GUUCAGUUUUCUGUCGUUCUGUCACUGAUAAAUGAGACAGAGCAGCCAUGGGGAGCAAACAGAGAAAAAUUUGCCAUUUGGCCAUGGUCUAUUUUCUCUUGAGUUCAACUUCACCUGCUGCAGAUGGUCAGAUCAGAUUAGCUGGGUCUGGGUCUACUCUGUGCUCUGGAAGAGUUGAAAUCUAUCACAACAACAUCUGGGGAACAGUCUGUGAUGAUGGUUGGGACUUAAACGAUGCUGAGGUGGUUUGCAGAGAGUUGGGCUGUGGUACGGCAA